ACGCAGGUUUGAUCCCUGGCCCCACUCAGUGGGUUAAAGGAUCUGAUAUGGCCGUGAGCUGUGAUGUAGGUCGAAGACAUGGCUCAGGUCUGGCGUUGCUGUGGCUAUAGUGUAGAGCCUCCACUGCAGCUCCGAUUUGGGAAUUUCCAAAUGCCGAAGAUGCGGCCCUAAAAAGAAAAAGAAAAGAAAAGAAAGAAAAAAGUUGGUGCCUGCCAGAAGCAUCCAUCACCGAAGUGCUGAACAAAGUAGACACAGUUCCUCAGCUAAUUGUGUUGGCCAGCCAUUGCCAUUGUCAAGUCUGGAACAGGCACAAUGGGCACGUGAAGAGAUUGGCUACAGUGAAAGAGAUGAAGGCUGUGUAUUGGCCCCGAAACAUCAACUUCUGCUUCCCAGGAUCAGGCUAAGUGUCGCUGCCUCUGAAUGUCCAAAUUGUCAGCAACUCGGACCGACACGGGGGAUCCUCAUGUGGAACCAUUCCUCAAAGAGGACAACUCAAAGAUCCCUUCCAACCGGGAAGAGCCAGUGGUUCAUCCUUACAAGGAUUGACAUUUAUUCCAGGGAUUGGUUUUCCUUUCCCACUCACAGAGCCGCAGCCAGCACCAUUUUCUGGGGCUUUUGGGAAGCUUGAUGCACAGGCAUGAAAUCCCACUCCACAUAACUGCUGACCAGCGGGUCCAUUUCGUAGGGAAGAAGGUGUGGGAAUGAGUUCAUGACUUCCUUUCUUGUUCGAAUGGUGUGGUCAGAAAAAAACCUAGGUUUUCAUUUGGUGUUACCUGAGUAGAUAUUGUGGAUUUGUUACAUUUGGCUUUUAUGAUAUGCUGUUAUGGACUGAAUUGUGUCACCUGCAAAAUUCAUGUGUUGAAGUCCUAACCCCCAAGGCCAAACAAUGUGAUUGCAUUUGGGGAGAGGGCCUUUAACGAGGUAAUUGAGGUGAAAUGUAAGAAAAGGUAAAAUGAGGUCCUUAGGAUGGCGCUAAUCCAAAGUGACAGGUGUCCUUAUGAAAAGAGAUUAGGACACAGAUGUGCACAGAGGCAAGACCUUGUAAAGACACAGGGAGAAGAUGGUUAUCUACGAGCCAAGGCGAGGGGUCUCAAAAUGAAGUCAUCCCUGCCAGCACCCUGAUCUGGAACUUCUAGCCUCAAGAACCGUGAGAAAAUAUAGUUCUGUUGUUUAAGCCACCUGCUCUGGGGUAUUUAUUAUUGCAGACCUAACAAAGUAGUACACAUGUUAAGCUAAUAAUAACUUUUAUAGUGGUUAGUGUUACAGUUUACAAAGCGCUUUCAGUUGCGCGUCUUAAUUGAAUCUCAUCACAACUCUGUGAAGUACUUGGGUAGGUGUUAUAUUUUUCGGUUAGGAAAACUGAGGACAUGGGAAUCCCUAAGAUACGUAGUAAGUGACAAAAUUAGGUCCUGAGUCCAAGUGUUCUGACUCCAGCUCCUCUCUCUCCAGUGGGACCUUCUCUAUUUAAAAACCGUCAGUGGCCAAGGUCUUGGGAUGGUGAACAAGGUCCCUCUCAGGCAGGUGUCCUGUUCCAUCUCCUGUCACUCAGCCCUUUCAUCCUGUGCUUUAUCAACACGGAAUUACAGCUCUAUAAAUCAAAUAUACCUCGCUCUGCCAUGCAUUGUGUGAACUGCUUCUCCAGCUGGGAUGCUUUUGCUGCUUUCUCGACCUGAAAAAUUAUGACACAUUCUUCAAAACUCAGCUCAAAUACCGCCUUGUCUGUGAACUCCACCGUGACUCUCUCUCCCCUGUACUCCCAUAUUUUGUGUAUUUUUCUGCAGUUGCACUUACCUCGUGAGUUGGAAAGCAAAUUAACAGAGCAGAAAAGGGCCAUGGCUAUGGAGCUGUUCUCGAAGGUUAGGUUUUUGUCUCAUCACAGAAGGAAUUUAGAAACAAGAUGGGAAUUGGGAAAACUGAGGAUUUAUUUCGGUGAGAAAUACCCCUCUUAAGGAGAGGCGGGCAGAGAGACGAGUGGCUGCUCUGCUCUUUUUUGGCACGCCGUUUAUAUGGGGUCUCUAAUUUGAUGGGUGGGAUAUUCACUGGGAAGGUGGGGUUGGGGGUCAUGCUCCUUAAUUUUCACCCCUCUUCACCUUCCCGAAGGGAGGAGGGAUUUUUUGUCCUUAUUUAGUUUUAACGGAAAUGUCAUGACGUCGGUGUAUGAUGGGCACUUCUUAUCUGCACAGCUGAUUUUAUUAUAAUGAGGGCAUCCUGGGCAACAGGUUGCAUCCAGACACUGGAGAUUCAUGCUCUUCUCCACCUUUCUUUGGCUGCCCCCAGAGCACUUAUCCCCCCAAAAGGUAUGGUUUCCUAUCUGUCUGGAGGUUCUUUAUCCACCCAUGGGCCCUGCUGUUUGCAUGACAUGUGGUUUCCUGCCAUCUGGCCCCAUGUACCCUUUCUCUGCUCAUGCCUAUCUGUCUGCUGCAACAGAGCGAAGCAUGUGUAGGGUCGAAUCCUGACUCUGCCAUGUUUCAGUCAAGCUUUCAUCAAGUAUGAAUUAGAUGAAACACACUGAACCAUGUUCUUGGAAUAUAAAGAUGGCAAAGCUUACUCACCCUGAAGGAAAUUCAAUCCAAAUGCAAUCUCCUUGAGGAUUCAAACAGGAAAUUAAAAUUUAGAGAGACAAGUGCGCUGCUGGAGAGAGGUACAGGGAGCACCAGGCAAGGCACCGACCCUUCCCUGGGUCAAGGAAGGCUUUUGAAGGACAAACAGGAAUUAAAUGAAGGGGGGUAGAAGAUUUCAGGCAGAGGAAUUAAAUGUACAAAAAAGAAGGAGAGAAUCACUCUCGAAGCCUCAGUCUCCUCCUCGGCAAAUGGGGAGAUGUACACCUAUCUCUUAGGGUUGGUGGCAGGAUUAAAUGACACAUCGUACGCAGAUCAUCUGAUGAGGUGUCUGACAUUGAGUGAGUGCUCACAGCAUUGAGGCAGUCUUAUUAUGCUGUGGUUAUAUCUGUCUGCCUCUCCGGCUUCACUGCAGGAGUUCCUGGAGGGCCAGGAGUUCCUUAUCCACUUUCAAAUCAUUAGCUUCUGACACUGUGCCUGGCAUGUGCUGAGCGCACAUGAUGUAUUUGUUGAAUAAGCGGAUGAAUGCCUGAAGGUCUGAGGAUGUGUUCCAGAUCUUCGCUAGUCUAAGACAAAAGUAAGACGGAACCAAACAAUCGUAGCAACCCUAAAAACCCUGCAAACUUCUCAAAAUUUUUCCUUUUUCAAUUAAUAGAAUGAGUAGGGCUUCCUUCUGUGAUUUAUGUCUCCUGAUUUACCAGAAAGUACCAAACGUGCCCCCUUAAAAAAAAUCAAAGAGCAACAGCUGUAGGAUGAGUUGAUUUUGAUGUGAGAAAGAGGAGUAAUAAAAGGGCAGGUCAGACCAAGUAUAAAUAAAUUCAAAUCCCACGACCUUUCCCCCUUCAGCUGUUACCAAUACUCCUCUACAGAGAUUUAAAACAUAGUUCAUUGAAAAGCUGGUCAAUGAUAGAAGGCUAGGAGACCAAUGUCUCAAGAACUCUUUUUCUUUCACCUUGGUACGUCCUAAAAUCCUGGAAUAUGAUGAGAAACAUUGUGUCAAUGCAUUUUACACAUACUAUGUGUCUAAAUAGAAAUUUUAGGUCUCCAUUACAGCCAUUCUUUUUAGCACCAAAAAAUUGCUAUACGGUAAAUAGACAUCAGUUAUCAAGGUCAGAUUCUCUGGAAACAAUCCCACGCUAUUAGCUAUGAGAGUCAUUAAACUGCAAUUUAAGCACAUUUUAAAUAGCCUAACGGACCUUUGUCAGGUCGAGCAUUCCUAGAGGAGAUGCUGUACUUCCAGAUUAAUUUUAGAGAUGCUCCAGCUCAAAACGUGUAAUCUGAAUUUACUCUCCAAAUUCCCAAAUCCAGAUUCUACGCCUCACUCUUCAAUUUAUUUUCUUCAGUUUGUAUGCAGAUUACACCAAGCAGGUGGUCUGUAGCUUGCAGUUGACAACACUUACCAGCUGUUAAAUUUACACAUCGCUCUAAUUUAAAUGCUUAAUUGCUCUCAGUGCGCUCAAUUUACAGCUCAUAAACCCCUCCCAAUGGCCCCCAAAUCUCUUUGCCUAUGAUAGAUUCAAAGUUAAAUGAACCAUAGUGUCCCUUGGUAGAAAAAUAAAAUAUUGAAUAAUCCUAAACUCUUUAAAUGUUUGUAAUUAUUUGCUGGAAAAAAAAUAACAUCUGAGCAUUUUCUUUAAGUUACUUUUGGAGAGGAGAGGUUGGGUUCAAUGAUUGCGAAGUCUCCUCCUAGUUCUUUACCAUCCUUGCUCUUUGAAGCUAGAGUACAAGUGUAGUACCUGCCUUUACAGGUAUAGAGCGUCCAGAAUGAUCAGGGAGGAUCAAAAAAUAUUUAAAACCUUGUGGACACUGUAUAAUGACAAACUGUUGCAGUCUCAGUGGCGUCUAAGUUACGUAUACAGAUGGUGUAAGAGUCACAGUCUGGUGGGAGAGUCUGAGGGCUUUUCUGUCUACCUACUCCUUUAGCCAGGAAAUUGAAUGUUGAUUUUGAAAGCACUCCUCUCAUUCAACUUCAUCGUUUUCCGGAUGAGGACGCGGAGCCCCAGAAGGUUUAAGUGGUUUGCUCAGUUAAGCAGUAAUGGGAGAGUAGGACAGGAAUUUCAGGUUCUUGCCUUUUGGGGCAACAUUUGGACCCCUUGACCUCCAGCCUCUCCUGUCCCCCAGUUUGUUGCAGAAAGGGAGUAAGCCUUUUUUAAACCUUGCACAAGACGCAGAAAUGGAUUUUUCUGAAUGAGUAGUACCAAAGUGCUUUUUGCUUUAAGCCAAACCAUGUAUGAAAAUAGGAGAUGUACGCUAGGACAAUAGGUAAGGUGUGCUCCUUAACCUAAUUUACAAGGAUUCAUCCUUAGAUUGUUGUAAAUAUCUAGGUUCCCUGCUGAAUCUUAAAGUUGGCCUAUGCUAGUCUCAAGAACUUAUCUAUUACAUAAAUUAUUCAUUCAAACCAAUUAGCAAGUGUUUAAAAGAAUAAUAGUCCCUUAGUGUACACUGAAGAUACUAGAAUCAAAUCCCUUAUAUAAAUUUUUUCUUUUAACAGCUGCACCUGCGGCGUAUGGAAGCUCCUGGGCUAGGGGUCACUUCAGACAUGUAGCUGCCGGCCUACACCACAGCCACAGCAACACCAGAUCCGAGCUUCAUCUGCUCCCUAUGCCACAGUUUGCAGCAAUGCUGGAUCCUUAACCCAAUGAGCGAGGCCAGGGACCUUGUAGUCCUCAUGGACAGUAUGUUGAGUUCUUAACCCACUGAGCUACAGCAGGAACUCCCAAGUCCUUUAUAUAAAAUGGAAUAGAAUUUCAUAUAACCUAUGUGUGUGCAUCCUUUUGUAUACUUUAAAUCAUCUUCAGAUUACUCUUAACACCUAAUACCAUGAAAGUGCUAUGUAAUCAGUUGUAAGUAUAAUGUAAAUGAAAUGUAAAUAGUUGCCUUUGCACAGAUUCAGGUUUUCUUUUGGGAACUUUCUGGAAUUUUUUAAAAAAUAUUUUCUAUCCAUGAUUGGUUGAUUCAGCGGAUGUGGAAUCCAAGGAUAUGGAAUGCCUACCACAGAGUCAGGUGCUAUACAAUUUUUUGUUUGUUUGUUUUGGCUGAUCCUGUGGCAUGUGGAAGUUCCUGGGCCAGGGAUCAAACCCAUGCCACAGCAGUGACAAUGCCAGAUCCUUAACCCACUGCACCACCAGGAAACUCCUACAGUUUUUAAAAAUAAUAAGCACAAUAUAAGUGGUGUUUCCUAUUGACAAGGAGCUUGCAUCUUAGGAGCAUAAGACAAACAAAUGAAACAACUUGAAAACAAAAUAGUAUAUAAUGAAGUGUUAAAUUGUAGAGUAUGAACCAAAAAGAAAACAAAAAGACUACUUACAGAAUGGGAGAAAAUAGUUUCAAAUAAUGCCACAGACAAGGGCUUAAUCUCUAGAAUAUAUGAGAAACUUACACAAUUCAACAGCAAAAAAGCCAAUCGACCAAUGGAAAAAUGGGCAAAAGACCUGAAUAGACUGUUCUCCAAGGAAGAUAUACAGAUGGCCAGCAAGCACAUGAAAAAAUGCUCAACAUCGCUGAUUAUAAGAGAAAUGCAAAUCAAAACUUCCAUGAGAUACCACCUCACACCAGUCAGAAUGGCCAUCAUUAAUAAGUCCACAGAUAACAAAUGUUAGAGGGGUUGUGGAGAAAAGGGAACCCUCCUGCACUAUUGGUGAGAAUGUAAACUGGUACAGCCACUAUGGAGAACAGUUUGGAGAUACCUUAGAAAUCUGUACAUAGAACUUCCAUAUGACCCCGCAAUCCCACUCUUGGGCAUAUAUCCGGACAAAACUCUACUUAAAAGAGACACAUGGGAGUUCCCGUCGUGGCGCAGUGGUUAACGAAUCCGACUAGGAACCAUGAGGUUGCGGGUUCAGUCCCUGCCCUGGCUCAGUGGGUUAACGAUCCGGCGUUGCCGUGAGCUGUGGUGUAGGUUGCAGAUGCGACUCGGAUCCCGCGUUGCUGUGGCUCUGGCGUAGGCCGGUGGCUACAGCUCCGAUUGGACCCCUAGCCU
rnacentral:lncRNA from 1 species